AGAGUUUGAUCCUGGCUCAGAUUGAACGCUGGCGGCAUGCCUUACACAUGCAAGUCGAACGGUAACAGGUUAAGCUGACGAGUGGCGAACGGGUGAGUAAUAUAUCGGAACGUGCCCAGUCGUGGGGGAUAACGCAGCGAAAGCUGUGCUAAUACCGCAUACGAUCUAUGGAUGAAAGCGGGGGACUUGCAAGAGCCUCGCGCGAUUGGAGUGGCCGAUAUCAGAUUAGCUAGUUGGUGGGGUAAAAGCUCACCAAGGCGACGAUCUGUAGCUGGUCUGAGAGGACGACCAGCCACACUGGAACUGAGACACGGUCCAGACUCCUACGGGAGGCAGCAGUGGGGAAUUUUGGACAAUGGGCGCAAGCCUGAUCCAGCAAUGCCGCGUGCAGGAUGAAGGCCUUCGGGUUGUAAACUGCUUUUGUACGGAGCGAAAAGGUUCUUUCUAAUACAAGGGAUUCAUGACGGUACCGUAAGAAUAAGCACCGGCUAACUACGUGCCAGCAGCCGCGGUAAUACGUAGGGUGCGAGCGUUAAUCGGAAUUACUGGGCGUAAAGCGUGCGCAGGCGGUUUUGUAAGACAAAUGUGAAAACCCCGGGCUCAACCUGGGAACUGCAUAUGUGACUGCAAAGCUAGAGUACGGUAGAGGGGGAUGGAAUUCCGCGUGUAGCAGUGAAAUGCGUAGAUAUGCGGAGGAACACCGAUGGCGAAGGCAAUCCCCUGGACCUGUACUGACGCUCAUGCACGAAAGCGUGGGGAGCAAACAGGAUUAGAUACCCUGGUAGUCCACGCCCUAAACGAUGUCAACUGGUUGUUGGGUCUUUACUGACUCAGUAACGAAGCUAACGCGUGAAGUUGACCGCCUGGGGAGUACGGCCGCAAGGUUG
rnacentral:rRNA from 1 species